UGAACAUGCUUGUAAUCUCAGCA
rnacentral:miRNA from 1 species